UAGCCGUAAACGAUACUCGCUAGGUGUCGGCCACGGUGCGACCGUUGUCGGUGCCGUAGGGAAGCCGUGAAGCGAGCCACCUGGGAAGUACGGCCGCAAGGCUGAAACUUAAAGGAAUUGGCGGGGAGCACCACAACGGGUGGAGCUUGCGGUUUAAUUGGAUUCAACGCCGGAAAUCUUACCGGGACCGACAGCAACAUGAAGGCCAAGCUGAAGACUUUGCCGGAUUAGCUGAGAGGUGGUGCAUGGCGUAGUCGUGU
rnacentral:rRNA from 1 species